rnacentral:lncRNA from 1 species
AUUUCGUGAAGAUAACUAGUAGUAGUGCCGAUUUUCUAGCCACUGUCUUAAAACUUAUGGGACGCACUGUGUAUAUUGUCUUCGCUGGGCUAUUGCUUGAUUCUUUUGGUGAUUUGUUUUCUUCGUAAUAUCUCUUCUAUUUUUGUGUAUCCUUCGUUUGUAAGUUUCUAUUUGUCAGGUAUUUAAUAAAUCGUUAUACUGCUUUUAUCCAAAUAUUAAGACUUAUCACCUUCCACAUCGGGUUAGAGUUUCGAAUGUUGAAAUUAAAUUAUCUUCCGCAGAUGGUUCAAGUGAAUUUUGCGUUUUCAAAUAUUGAUAGAUCUUACAGGUAUUGUUAUAUAACUGUUUGGUUUUUUGUGUUAACGAAUAUCCUCCUGCGAGAUGUAAUAACCGACGGAAUCCAAGUAUUUCAGGUAACUUUUCUGGUGUUGUUCGUACAUUCCUUCUGCUUGCAAUUUCGGUUCUACCGAUGAUGGAGGAAACCGUAUACGUUUUGGAGCAACGAUAGCAAAGGGGGACUACUGCUAGCCUGUGGUGCUGAUUGUGUGAAAGCAGGUGGAUAUGUCGGUAAUGGCGACUGUAUUAAAGUUGGCGGAAGUAAUAGUAAUGAUGACUGUGUUAAAAGUCAGGUGAAGAUGAUAGUAAUAUUGUUACAGCUGGUGUUGAUCUUGGCAUAAAUGAUGUUGCAAAUACUUUUAAGAUUAAGAAAUUAUCGGAUUCUCGAUAGAAACAGAUGUAAUUUUCAGAAGAAGCAUAGGUAAAGAUCGUAUCUUUCCAUUCCUGACAGAGAGCAAAGAAAAAGUAUAUAUGUAGUUACUAAAUUGAUGGACUGUAAGGCAGUGAGGUUUGUAAUGUGUGACUUCAACUUGGCAGUUGGCGAUAGAGCAUUUUCUAUUCUUUUCAAUGGUCAUCUAAGAAUAAAAUGUCGAAUUAUAAUAUGUAACAUAGUAAUGUCCUCGACGUGCCGAGUCGUUAGAUACACGACAUGCCGGUGACGGUCCCUGAUCCGUUCGGGUUUACCAGGUGAAACCCCUCGUCGAGACGUAUCGUUCGAUGUAUCACACGCCCUCGUUCGACUACAUGAAAUUUAAGAUUUCCCCAUAGGGGUUAGGGACCGUCACCAUCGUGUAGCUGCCGCUAUUAAGAGUCCGAUGAUAUAUUACACGCCUAUAACGCUGUAAUAUUUAUUUGAGAGAUUUUUUUCGUCUUAACUACAUAAAAAACUUAUGCAUGUUUUUAUAUAGGUAGAUAUCAUUAUAAACUAGUUCUAAUAGUUGCAACGUAGUAGAAUAUUGUAGUAGUAAGAAUGAACGGUAGAAGUAUGGUGAUUAGAAGUAUUUUGGCGGCGAUGGCUAGAAGUAUCAUGGCGGCGUUGACGUCAAUGCUAUACUGCAAUGAAAGUUUCUCGUAAAUAGAUGUACCUUGUUUAGAAAUACUACUGCUAUAUUGGGAUGUUAAGGUUUCUUGCAUAGAAGUACCGG